rnacentral:rRNA from 1 species
AUCGAACGCUGGCGGCAUGCCUAACACAUGCAAGUCGAGCGUGCGGCGGACGGGUGAGUAAUGUAUGGGGAAUGUCCGUUACAGUGGCAUAACUACUGGAAACCGUAUCUAAUCCCGCACUCCACCGGCUUACCGUUAUGGGAUUAGCUAGUAGCUGAGGUAAUGGCUCACCUAGGCGACGAUCCAUAGCCGGUCUGAGAGGUUGAUCAGCCACACUGGGACUGAGACACGGCCCAGACUCCUACGGAGGCAGCAGUAGGGAAUAGUGCGCAAUGGGCACAAGCCUGAUAGAGCCAUGCCGCGUGUAUGAAGAAGGCCUUAGGGUUGUAAAGUACUUGCAGUCGGGAAGCGUUACCGACAGAGAAAGCAACGGCUAACUCCGUGCCAGCAGCCGCGGUAAUUC